GGGGGUAUAGCUCAGUUGGUAGAGCGCUUGAUUUGCAUUCAAGAGGUCAACGGUUCGAACCCGUUUAUCUCCA
rnacentral:tRNA from 1 species